rnacentral:rRNA from 1 species
UACGUAGGGUGCAAGCGUUGUCCGGAUUUAUUGGGCGUAAAGAGCUCGUAGGCGGUUUUGAAAGUCAGGUGUGAAACCUCCAGGCUCAACCUGGAGACGCCACUUGAUACUUCAAUGACUUGAGUACGGUAGGGGACCACGGAAUUCCUGGUGUAGCGGUGAAAUGCACAGAUAUCAGGAGGAACACCGAUGGCGAAGGCAGUGGUCUGGGCCGAUACUGACGCUGAGGAGCGAAAGCGUGGGGAGCGAACAGG